CUUUAAAUCUGAUAAAACUUUUUCAGAAAACUAUUGAUUCUAAAAUUAGUAAAUGAUUUUUGAAAAUUACUUCUUACUUCAUAACAAUACGUUUCUUAAAUCUUAGAUCGUUUUAUCUUUCAAUUCUUUUAAUUUUGCAGACUUAAUAUUGCCUCUUUCCCAACACUCUAUUUCUAGUUCUACAUCAGUUGUUUCAAAAUGAUCAGUUUCUGAUUUUGAAGACGAAUUACCUCAGCAACCUAACCAAAAAAAAAUUGAAACUGUUUACGCCAGCCCUCAUAUCUGCGCUAAAUAGAUCAAAAACAACAGAUAGAAAUGCAUGGCAUAUCAUCGUUGCCGUUGUUUCCGCCCUGGGACAUGAAGCAGAUCAAGUACCUAGUCAUAGUACAAUUCGUCGUCAUCGUAUAGAAGGACGAAAACAGAUUGCUAAUGAUUUGAAAGAAAAUUUACGAACUGCUUCUAGUUUCGUCGUGCACUGGGACGGUAAAAUGCUGCCUGAUAUUGUUGACAAAGAUAAAGUUGAUCGACUUCUGAUUUUAAUAUCUGGUAUCAAUACUUAGCAGUUAUUAGCUGUACCUAAGCUUGAAAAAUCGACUGGAAUAAAUCAAACAUUGAUUAUGACUGAAACAUUAGACGAAUGGAAUAUCACAGAACGAGUUAAGGCUAUGUGUUUUGAUACACCUUCAGUGAACACAGGAGAUUACAAUGGAACUUGUGUCUUACUAGAAAAGCAGUGAGACAAAAAAUUGUUACAUUUGGCAUGUCGUCACCAUAUUUUUGAACUAACGCUAAGAAACGUAGUUGAAUGCAUUUGGCCAGUAACAAAAUCUCCAAACGUAGCUAUUUUCGAACGUUUUCGAAAUAAAUGGCACACCAUGGAUAAAAAUAAGUUUGUAACUGGCUUGAAAGAUAAAUUUGUCAAUGAUGUGAUUGGAAGUAAGCAAACUGAAAUCCUUCAAAAUAUUCAAGAUCGCUUGCAGCACCAAUAUGUAAGAGAUGACUAUAAGGAGCUAUUGGAGUUGUCAUAUAUUUUUUUAGGUGGAAUUCCAACUCAAGGAGUGAAAUUCAAAGCUCCCAGUGCAAACCAUUAUGCUUGUUGGCUUGCUAAAGCUUUAUCUAUUUAUAUAUUUAUUUAUUU